UGUGGCUACUGCCUAUACAAAGACAAAUACGAAAUUCCUCUAUGGUCUCAACUGUGGAGACUUCAUUUAGCCACUUUUACAACCGCCAUCGCCGCAGCGAAUCCCGCUACUCAGCUCACUAUCACUUUUUUUUCGGUCACUUACCUCCGCCGGAACUUUUCCAAAACGACUGCUCCGAUAAGUGAUCUUCAUGCUUCCGAUUCACUCCCCAAAACCCCCUUCUUCGACGACGAAAGCCACAACCACACCUGAAUUGAACUCAAUCGAACGCAAAAACACGUCGAGUUCUUUCCGGUCACAAAAUUCUUUCGUUUUCCCCAACAGUAAUCGCUUAUGGCUUCUUCUCGUCAUCGUGUCGUUACAAAUAAUCAUCCUCCUUAUGGCUCGUGGCCUCCCUCUUUCUCACCGCCGUACCCAUUUUCCUUCCCCUUUGUCUUACGAUCAUAAACCCGUUCAAAAUCCGGCUAACUUUUCAACACAUCGUUCAAAAUCCGCCAACAUUUCGAUUUCCUCCACCGUUUCUUCUCCACCCGACCGGUGUUCGUCGGGUCGGAUAUUUGUUUACGACUUGCCGGCUGUUUUUAACAGGGAGUUGUUGGAUAACUGUGCGGAUUUAGACCCAUGGCACUCGCGUUGUGAGGCUUUGUCAAACGGUGGGUUCGGGAGGGAAGCCGCCGGAUUAUCCGGCGUCAUACCGGAGGGUUUGGUUCCAGCUUGGUACUGGACUGACCAGUUCGCCAUGGAAGUUAUUUACCACAACCGUGUCUUGAGCCACGAAUGCCGGACGACGGAGCCGGAUUCCGCGAUGGCGUUUUACAUCCCGUUUUAUGCCGGACUCGCUGUCGGAAAAUACUUGUGGCUUGGGUAUAGUUCGAAAGAUCGUGAUCGGUACUGUGAGAUGAUGUUGGAAUGGAUAAAGGAUCAACCGUACUGGAACCGUUCCGACGGCUGGGAUCAUUUCAUGACGAUGGGUCGUAUCACGUGGGAUUUUCGGCGGUCUAAAAAUGAAGAUUGGGGUUCCAGCUGUAUUUACAUGCCGGGUAUGAGGAACAUCACACGGCUUUUAAUUGAACGGAACCCUUGGGACUAUUUCGACGUUGUCGUCCCUUACCCAACCGGAUUCCAUCCAAGAUCCAAUUCAGAUAUCGUCCAAUGGCAAAACUUCGUCCGUAACCGCCGCCGUAAAACCCUCUUUUGCUUCGUCGGAGCUCCCCGCGCCGCCAUCAAGAACGAUUUCAGAGGCUUACUCCUCAACCAUUGCAAAAACGCUUCGGGUUCAUGCAAAGCCGCGGAUUGCACCGGCAGCCGUUGUUCCAACGGCACCUCCGUCAUCCUGCAGACAUUUUUAGAUUCCGAUUUUUGUCUCCAACCCAGAGGCGACAGCUUCACCCGCCGGUCCGUCUUCGACUGUAUGAUCGCCGGUUCGAUCCCGGUCUUUUUCUGGCAUCGAACAGCUUACCUUCAAUACCAAUGGUUCUUACCCAAUGACCCCAAAUCAUACUCUGUUUUCAUCCACCGUGACUUAGUCAAAAACGGUACCUCCUCCAUUAAAACCGUUCUUCAAAGUUACAGCAAACAAGAAAUAAACCAAAUGAGGGAGAAAGUGAUUCAAUACAUUCCCAAAUUAGUUUAUGCAAAACCCGAAAAGGGUUUAAACAAUACAAAGGAUGCAUUCGAUAUCGCCAUCGAUGGAGUUUUGAAGAGAAUUAAAGAACAGGAGCAGCCUGGAUUCAAAUGGAAAUGAUUAUAUACAUAAAUGGUAAGUUUUUGUUGGGGAAGAUAAUGUAUCAGAGUUGCAGAGCAGAUGGCAUAAUUUGUCUGCAGUUUCAGUGGUAACAAUGAAAGCCAAGUAGUUGAUUUUGGAAGAAAGGUAUUGUUUUUCCCAAUUUGGCUUAUGAUUGGAUUUGGAAUCUUAGAGAUGAUAAAGAAAUAAAAAUACAUGACAUAACCCAAAUAAGUCCUAAUAUAUAUUUAUUUGUUGUAGUCACCUGGAUCUUCAUAUUAGAUUGUUACAUGUAUUCAGCCAUUACUCUGAAGAUCUGAAUUUAAUAAUUAAAAUUUUAUGUGAUUAUGUGAUA